UUUAAUAUUUCUUCACCAAAAUUUACGCAUAGAUAGAUCUGGUGAUGGACCGGUGCCUUUUGGUAGUUUUGAAUUUCUGAAUAAAAUAUGUUUUACAUUUCCAUGGCAUCAAGUUUGACAUAGAUUGAAUUUGGUGGUAGUGGUUGUUUCUGGAGCAGAAUUU